GACAGAGGAUGCAAGCGUUAUCCGGAAUGAUUGGGCGUAAAGCGUCUGUAGGUGGCUUUUUAAGUCCGCCGUCAAAUCCCAGGGCUCAACCCUGGACAGGCGGUGGAGACUACCAAGCUGGAGUUCGGCAGGGGAGACUGGAAUUCCUGGUGUAGCGGUGAAAUGCGUAGAUAUCGGGAGGAACACCUGUGGCGAAAGCGGCAUACUGGACCAGUAACUGACGCUGAGGCGCGAAAGCUAGGGGAGCAAACAGG
rnacentral:rRNA from 1 species